CCUACGGGUGGCUGCAGUGGGGAAUAUUGGACAAUGGGCGAAAGCCUGAUCCAGCCAUGCCGCGUGUGUGAAGAAGGCCUUCGGGUUGUAAAGCACUUUCAGUGGGGAAGAAAGCCUUGGGGCUAAUACCCUCGAGGAAGGACAUCACCCACAGAAGAAGCACCGGCUAACUCCGUGCCAGCAGCCGCGGUAAUACGGAGGGUGCGAGCGUUAAUCGGAAUUACUGGGCGUAAAGCGCGCGUAGGCGGUCUGAUAAGCCGGUUGUGAAAGCCCCGGGCUCAACCUGGGAACGGCAUCCGGAACUGUCAAGCUUGAGUGCAGGAGAGGAAGGUAGAAUUCCCGGUGUAGCGGUGAAAUGCGUAGAGAUCUGGAGGAAUACCAGUGGCGAAGGCGGCCUUCUGGACUGACACUGACGCUGAGGUGCGAAAGCGUGGGUAGCAAACAGGAUUAGAUACCCGGGUAGUC
rnacentral:rRNA from 1 species